UCUCAGUUCNGAUUGCAGGCUGCAACUCGCCUGCAUGAAGUCGGAAUUGCUAGUAAUCGCAGAUCAGCAUGCUGCGGUGAAUACGUUCCCGGGCCUUGUACACACCGCCCGUCACACCAUGGGAGUCGGUAACACCCGAAGUCGGUAGCCUAACCGUAAGGAGGGCGCCGCCGAAGGUGGGAUUGAUGACUGGGGUGAAGUCGUAACAAGGUACC
rnacentral:rRNA from 1 species